rnacentral:rRNA from 1 species
UACGGGGGGGCAAGCGUUGUUCGGAAUUACUGGGCGUAAAGGGCUCGUAGGUGGCCAACUAAGUCAGACGUGAAAUCCCUCGGCUUAACCGGGAACUGCGUCUGAUACUGGAUGGCUUGAGUUUGGGAGAGGGAUGCGGAAUUCCAGGUGUAGCGGUGAAAUGCGUAGAUAAUCAGGAGGAACACCGGUGGCGAAGGCGGCUCUCUGGACGGAUACUGACGCUGAGGCGCGAAACGUGGGGAUCAAACAGGG